UCGAGGCGGUAGGGUGGGCCGGAGGACUUAAAAAUUAAGCGCUGGUCUCAGGAUGGGUUGACUUGUCACAAAAAAAUGAACCCAAAGACCAUUCUAGUAGGCAACCUUUGCUGACCAGUCACUGCACCUUCCGAUGGCAACUUGUUGCUUGGAUUCUAGUCAGAACCAAAUUUUCGUGUUUGAGGGGAAAUUGGAACCAGGCUCUUUCUCACUCCUCAGAAUCUACCCCGGUUCUACAAAUAUACAAUUGCUCAUUUCAAGGAAACUACCCAUUCUGGGCUUCAUGGAGUCGGUGCUGACGCUUCACAGAGCAUACCAGGCAGAGGAAACAGCGUAUACACAGGCAAAGAGACUAAGUAGACCUGAGUAAGAUUCAGGAAUAAUGAGAAAGUCUGGUCAAGUUUUAGGUUUGCAUGGUGUAAUGUGGAGCAGGGAAGAGGAAUAUAUAAAUCAGACUGGAAGCUUUAGGGAAAGCUCCUUGGAAGAGAAGACGGAACAUCUGAAUUUGGGGCUAGUCGGAGUCUGUUAAAUAAUAAUAACUGAGGAAAGGCAUUCUACUUGGAGGUGGAUCCAAGAAUGCAAAGAACCUAAGGCAGCAAGUCUCUGGGAACUGAAGACACUGAAAGCAGCUGGAAUGAAAGAGACCACAGGGGCCAAACAUGGAGAGACAACUGUGCCCACUAAAGGGCUGAGACCUUAUUCUGGGAAAUGCAGCGAAAUUGCCCCUAUUUUUCUUUUCAUUUGCAGAGAGAAGGGAAGAUCCUUGUGAAAAACAAAGUAAGGCACUGAAAUAAUGCUGUGAAGAUCUAACCACAAAGAGGCCCUAGCUGGGCUAUUCUGGAAAUGCUUCUCUUCGUAAUUUUAUAAAAUGAUCACUCAUGAUCACCAAAUUGUGGAAUUACAGACAGAUUGAAAUGAAGACGAAAGGAAAAGAAGGGUUCAUGGAAGAGAAAAAUAAUCAAAAUAAAAAAUGAGAAAUUGGACCAGAGAGAAUAUAAUAAUUAAACACCAUCGGUGACCAUAGAUCCUGGUUUCCUUUUGGGAAUGCUGUUAGACUCGUUUUCCUUAAUGCUGCAAUGAACAAAAC